UGUGUGACCUGCUCUUUGCUGAGG
rnacentral:piRNA from 1 species